AGAGUUUGAUCAUGGCUCAGGACGAACGCUUGCGGCGUGCCUAAGAAAUGCAAGUCGAGCGGAGAAGUAGCAAUACUUCUUAGCGGCGAACGGUCGCGUAACACGUAAGCAACCUGCCGAAAAGACCGGGACAACAUCUCGAAAGGGGUGCUAAUACCGGAUGUGGCCAUCUUCUCGCAUGGGAGGGUGAUUAAACCGCGCUAGCAAUAGUGGCGGCUUUUCGAGGGGCUCGCGGCCUAUCAGCUAGUUGGCGGGGUAACGGCCCACCAAGGCUAUGACGGGUAGCUGGUCUGAGAGGACGACCAGCCACACGGGGACUGAGACACGGCCCCGACUCCUACGGGAGGCAGCAGUGGGGAAUUUUCCGCAAUGGGCGAAAGCCUGACGGAGUGACGCCGCGUGUGGGACGAAGGCCUUCGGGUCGUAAACCACUGUCAGUGGGAAAGAUGGGUGUCGGGGCUAAUACCUCCGGCAUCUGACGGUACCUGCAGAGGAAGCCCCGGCCAACUCUGUGCCAGCCGCCGCGGUAAUUC
rnacentral:rRNA from 1 species